GCUAGCGUUGUCCGGAAUCAUUGGGCGUAAAGAGCGUGUAGGCGGUCCGGUAAGUCCGCUGUGAAAGUCGGGGGCUCAACCCUCGAAUGCCGGUGGAUACUGUCGGGCUAGAGUGCGGAAGAGGCGAGUGGAAUUCCUGGUGUAGCGGUGAAAUGCGCAGAUAUCAGGAGGAACACCAAUUGCGAAGGCAGCUCGCUGGGACGUUACUGACGCUGAGACGCGAAAGCGUGGGGAGCAAACAGG
rnacentral:rRNA from 1 species